rnacentral:rRNA from 1 species
UACGUAGGGACCGAGCGUUGUCCGGAAUCAUUGGGCGUAAAGAGCGUGUAGGCGGCCACUUAAGUCCUGCGUGAAAUCUUGCGGCUCAACCGCAAGCGGUCGUGGGAAACUGGGUGGCUAGAGUGCGGGAGAGGAGAGUGGAAUUCCUGGUGUAGCGGUGGAAUGCGCAGAUAUCAGGAGGAAUACCGGUGGCGAAGGCGGGUCUCUGGGCCGAUACUGACGCUGAGGAGCGAAAGCGUGGGGAGCGAACAGG